UGAGUACAAGAUGCUACGGCAUUGAAGCAGUCUAUGUCAUACUUCCAAGAAAAGCUUGCAAUGUCAUAAACAAAUAAUGCCUGUACCAUAACCGACACAGGUGGGUAGGUAGAGUAUACUAAGGGGCGCGAGAUAACUCUCUCUAAGGAACUCGGCAAAAUGACUCCGUAACUUCGGGAGAAGGAGUACCUUAUUUUAUAAGGUUGCAAUAACAAGGUCCAAGCAACUGUUUACCAAAAACACAGGUCUCCGCUAAGUCGUAAGACGAUGUAUGGGGGCUGACGCCUGCCCAGUGCCAGAAGGUUAAAGAAGUUGGUUAGCAUUAGCGAAGCUGAUAACUGAAGCCCUGGUGAACGGCGGCCGUAACUAUAACGGUCCUAAGGUAGCGAAAUUCCUUGUCGGGUAAGUUCCGACCCGCACGAAAGGCGUAAUGAUUUGGAUACUGUCUCGGAGAGGGGCUCGGUGAAAUAGACUUGUCUGUGAAGAUGCGGACUACCUGCACCUGGACAGAAAGACCCUAUGAAGCUUACUGUAACUUGAGAUUGAAAUUGGACUUUAUUUGCGCAGUAUAGGUGGGAGACCUCGAAAGUAUUCUUGCGGGAAUAUUGGAGUCAUCAGUGAGAUACCACUCUUAUAAUGUUAGAUUUCUAACUUUGUAUCAUUAUCUGGUCAAAGAACAGUUUCAGGCGGGCAGUUUGACUGGGGCGGUCGCCUCCCAAAUGGUAACGGAGGCGCACAAAGGUUUCCUCUGAACGUGUAGAAAUCGUAUCUAGAGUGUAAAGGCAUAAGGAAGCUUGACUGUGAGACCUACAAGUCGAGCAGGGACGAAAGUCGGUCUUAGUGAUCUGACGGUGCUGAGUGGAAAGGCCGUCACUCAACGGAUAAAAGUUACUCUAAGGAUAACAGGCUGAUCUCCCCCAAGAGUUCACAUCGACGGGGAGGUUUGGCACCUCGAUGUCGGCUCAUCGCAUCCUGGGGCGGUAGUACGUCCCAAGGGUUGGGCUGUUCGCCCAUGAAAGCGGUACGCGAGCUGGGUUCAGAACGUCGUGAGACAGUUCGGUCCAUAUCCGGUGUAGGCGUUAGAAUAUUGAGAGGAGCCUUCUUUAGUACGAGAGGACCGAGAAGGACAUACCUCUGGUGUACCAGUUAUCGUGCCAACGGUAAACGCUGGGUAGCUAUGUAUGGAGAGGAUAACCGCUGAAAGCAUCUAAGUGGGAAGCCCACCUCAAGAUAAGUAUUCUCAU
rnacentral:rRNA from 1 species